rnacentral:lncRNA from 1 species
CGCCUUUUUUCCACACUCAGUACUGUGGUUUCUCUGUUGACCUCUCCCCUGUCCUGCUCCCCUCAGAUCCCCCUCCCCAGCCAGUACUGAGUGUGGAUCCCCCGUCCGGAGUGGUGAGUGAAGGGCUCCCCCUGCUCAUCACCUGCAUGGCCCCUGGGGACACCAGAGAGAAGAGGUUUCACUUCUACAAGGACGGAGCUGAGAUCGUCCCUGGGGACACAGGGUCUGAGAUCAGCACCACAGAGCCCAGCACCAGCUCUAUGACAGUCUCUGUGCUCAGCAUCCUGCAAGCUGGUCCCAGCAACACCGGGCAAUUCAGAUGCGGGUACGAGGCGAACAUGGGCAGGAGAUGGAUCCCAUCCCCCAAGAGCCAGGCUGUGAACAUCACCGUGACAGCCUGGUCUCUGCCCAUCCCCCUGGUGGCUGGGUGCGGUGGGGCUGCCACGGCUCUGGCUCUGCUGCUGCUGCUGCUCAUCCCCCUCUGCAGGAAGAAGACGGCAGCUAGCCGCCGGCUCUCCAUGUCCUACUGGAAGAGAGGGGAACUGCACCGGUCACGGAUAAUGAGAAGGUCGGCCGAGAUCUCCGGGAUAAAUAUAUGUGGUGUCGUGGCAGAGACACAGCCCGUGUAUGUCAACAUACCCUUCAGGGCUGGCACAGCUCUGCAGCAAUGGAGCCAUGAUGGGCAGGUCCAGCCGGUGACCCACAGCCAGCCGGCGCGGCCCAACAACCCUGGAGAGAAGUCCGUAGUGGGUCAAAAUCCUCAGGAAAGGGACAAGAGAGAAGAGGAUGCAGAUGCCAGGGUGAGCAAUAUCGUCUAUUCUACAUUGACUCCCCCUAGCGCCGUGGCCCAACGGAGAGGAGGAAAGUACGUCUCGGAGGAUGUGGUGUACAGCGAAAUCCCCUACUGAUCACAGCCUCUGCCACCACCCUGUCCCCAUCACACCCCACGCUGAAAACACCUCGCAUAAUGCCCCAUCCCCCAAACCUUCCCUUCCCUGCAAACCCCUCUAAUGGCCACAAACUUCUUCCUGGUGUACUUUGAAUGUAAGAAAGUGUGGGGCUUGCAGACAGGACUCCUCGGUCCUAUCCCAGCUAUGGGAGGGGAGUGGGGCUAGUGGUUAGAGCAGGGGGUGGGGCUGCGAGCCAGGCUCUGCGAAGGGAGUAGGUUAGAA